rnacentral:rRNA from 1 species
ACUCAAAUGAAUUGACGGGGGCCCGCACAAGCGGCGGAGCAUGCGGAUUAAUUCGAUGCAACGCGAAGAACCUUACCAAGGCUUGACAUAUGCGAGAACGCGGCAGAGAUGUCGUUCUCUUUGGACACUCGUAUACAGGUGGUGCAUGGUUGUCGUCAGCUCGUGUCGUGAGAUGUUGGGUUAAGUCCCGCAACGAGCGCAACCCUCGUUCUAUGUUGCCAGCACGUGAUGGUGGGGACUCAUAGGAGACUGCCGGGGUCAACUCGGAGGAAGGUGGGGAUGACGUCAAAUCAUCAUGCCCCUUAUGUCUUGGGCUUCACGCAUGCUACAAUGGCCGGUACAAAGGGCUGCGAAACCGCGAGGUGGAGCGAAUCCCAAAAAACCGGUCUCAGUUCGGAUUGGGGUCUGCAACUCGACCCCAUGAAGUCGGAGUCGCUAGUAAUCGCAGAUCAGCAACGCUGCGGUGAAUACGUUCCCGGGCCUUGUACACACCGCCCGU